GAGGGGGAGGAGGGCAUGCUCAAGAAGGUUUCAGGUCACAAACUGGUCAUCAUGGCAGAUUUGUCCAAGAUGGCAUUAGUCUGAUUCACACCAGGGUCUACAGAUAGAUUUGGAAGUCAUUAAUAUAUAGGUAAUGAAGGAUAGUUGGAAGAAAGGCAGGCAGGGACAAGGCCCCCACCCCCGUCCUAAGAGGAAAACUACCCUUAAAAGGAAAAAGACCCCAUGCUGUUAUUCUAGGCUUUACUCAGUGCCCUAGCUUUAAGUCUUCCUACUGGAGGACUUAAAACUUGUAUGUGACAAAAAGGAAGGGAAUGGCCUUGGACAUCCUAACCCAGGCCUGGGGGCCAGCUCAAUAGCCAGUGGGAUAUUUAAACAAAGUGCUUGAUCUGGUGGCCUGCGCUGGCCAGCAUGCCUUAGGGCAGUGGUGGCCACUACCCUCUUGGUCCCCAAGGCUACAAAACACCACCCUGGAAGGAGCCUUCCACCCUUUCCCAAACGAACAACUACCUGAUAGGUAGAUGAGUGUGUGGACAAAAACCUGAUUGGGUGACAGGUUCUUGGGGGUUAAUCAGAUUAAAACAGCCCACACCGAAGAGCCCAUAAAAACCCCUGGAUUUAAACACCAAAUUGGCAACCCAACCCUCUCGGGUCCCCUCCCUCAUUGGGAGCUUUGUACUAUCACUCAGUAAACUUUGUUUUACUGUAGCUCAAUGAACUUCGCUUUGUUACCCACCACUCUUCGUCUGGUCUUCCUCUUCAUUCUUAGAAGCGAUGUGACCAAGAACUACGUGCACCGAAGGACAAGAAAUCCUGUAACAUAGGUGAUAGUUGAAACUAUCAGAGUGGAUGAGAACACAAAGACAUGUAGAAGAGAAGAAAGGAGACCCAAGAGUCGAAGUCUGUGGAACACUGACAUGAGAAAGACAGGCUUGUUCAAGUCAUUACAAUGUGCCUCAUUUUUGCUUAUCUGCUGUCACUGGCAGUGAAGUAAAAGAACUCGCUCUGAUGUAAUGGAGUGGAUAACCAACUGAUAUACCAAGAUUAAAAAUUUUGGUAAGGCAGACAAACCUCUGAAGUACCAUUUGAGAUAUUUCCUGGCCGGAUCUGACACGUUUAGCACCCUAUCAUAAAGUGAAGGGAGGCAAAGUUAUUCUGUUCAAUAAAUGUGCAUCCUCAUGGAUCUGGAAAGAAAAUACCUGAGAAUUUAACUAAGGUCUAAGUGAAUCAUAACGUGAAUCUUAAAAGGUUGCAGCAAAUGUUAAGUUUCUUGUUCACAGUUUAAAAAAGAAAAAAAUGACUCCAGAUAUGGUAAAAUUCCAACAUCCUAAGAAUGUAGUAUUGCAUAAAUCAUAGUAAGUAAAAUAACUGGAAAGCAGCGUUACAUCUUCUUGAAAUCAGAGUCUAAACUAACUAAAAUGACUACAUCUUCUAUGUUUUCUGUGCUUUUUUGACAAAUCUGGUUGAACGAAAUAAACUUCAUCUUUCCUAACAGACACAAAAUAAAUAGGAGAAAUGCCCA